CACGUAGGGCGCAAGCGUUGUCCGGAAUUAUUGGGCGUAAAGAGCUCGUAGGCGGCCUGUUGCGUCCGCUGUGAAAACCCAGGGCUUAACCCUGGGCCUGCAGUGGAUACGGGCAGGCUAGAGGCAGGUAGGGGAGAAUGGAAUUCCCGGUGUAGCGGUGAAAUGCGCAGAUAUCGGGAGGAACACCUGUGGCGAAAGCGGCUCACUGGACCAUUACUGACGCUGAUGCACGAAAGCUAGGGGAGCAAACAG
rnacentral:rRNA from 1 species